UGGCUGAGCGGUAAAGCGCUUGCCUUUCGAACCAGGAGUCCCGGGUUUGAAUCCUGG
rfam:Biomphalaria glabrata isolate BB02 unplaced genomic scaffold LGTN_random_Scaffold579, whole genome shotgun sequence.